CGAGAAUUUUUCACAAUGGGGGAAACCCUGAUGGAGCGACGCCGCGUGGAGGAUGAAGGCCCUUGGGUCGUAAACUCCUGUCAUAAGAGAACAAGAAAGUGAUAGUAUCUUAAGAGGAAGAGACGGCUAACUCUGUGCCAGCAGCCGCGGUAAUACAGAGGUCUCAAGCGUUGUUCGGAUUCAUUGGGCGUAAAGGGUGCGCAGGCGGUGUGGUAAGUCGGGUGUGAAAUUUAGGGGCUCAACCUCUAAACUGCACCUGAUACUGCCAUGCUAGAGGACUGUAGAGGAGAUUGGAAUUCACGGUGUAGCAGUGAAAUGCGUAGAUAUCGUGAGGAAGACCAGUGGCGAAAGCGAAUCUCUGGGCAGUUCCUGACGCUCAUGCACGAAGGCUAGGGGAGCAAACGGGA
rnacentral:rRNA from 1 species